CACACGCACAUGUGGAGUCUCUCCCA
rnacentral:piRNA from 1 species